CUACAGAUGGAGGCGGUGACGUGGGUGGAGCGCAGAAUUAGCAUCGGCGGGAACUUAUGCUCGAGUGUGGCGCUGCCGGAGGGCGAAGGCGUGAGCAAGUUAGUUCCCGGCUGUGGUCCGAGUCCGGUCAUUGCUAUACCUGUGGAACCAUGACGGAAAGCAGGCGCCGGGGCCACCUAGAGCGCCAGGGCGAGCUCUGCCGCGGGGCGGGACUUCCGGUGUACGGGCCCAAAGGGUUGGCCAGAGGUCCUGAACUCACGUAGGGUCAUGACGUGAGGGGGCGUGGCCAAGAUGGCUGCGCGCAUGAAACUACUUGCCGGGACUCACCGCGGAGAUCGGUCCCGGAGAUGGGAGACUGCAUUGCUAGAAACUGAGGCUGAAGAAGCCGGAACUUCUCCGGAUCUGCGUUUUUGAUAUCUCGACUCUGUCAGGGGAAUGGAUACUCACCGGGCAUCUUCAGGAUAGGCAUCGGCAGCACAGCUGUGUCCGGAACACAAGUUUGAGCCUUUCCACGCCUCAGUUUCUUAUAUCCUUUUUCUUUUGUGCCCUACACCAGAGCGAGAGAAGAGAAACUUUGAGCAGUUUCAAGAAGCUCAGAGUCUAGUCUAUCCUGUUUGAAGUUGUCAUUUUUUGUAAGGUGCAUCCAUACACUGCAGUUUUUCUGUGGGUCUCAGCUUGUCCAGAGUUUGGAUUUUAACGUUAGCAAGCAGUUCAGGGUUAAUUCUUGCUGGCCAAUUUGUAAUCAUGUGCCCUACUUUAAACAUGAAAAAUCAGGGGAAUUGGUAGAUUUUUUUUUUCACAUCCCUCACAUUCCUUUCUUGGAAAUUAAAUCCAGAUCAUGCUAACGCCACAGAAAAGGGAUUAAUUAUAUAUAGGAGGUAAUCAUUUUCCUUAAAUACUUAUUUUAAUUUACGCGUGCGUGAGUGCUUCUGUUUGUGUCUACUGAGGUCAGAAGAGGGCAUUAGAUCACCUGGAGCUGCAGUCCCAUACAGUUGCCAGCAGCCUGACUGUGAGCACUGAGACUUGAACUUAGAUCCUCCUUGACCACAGAGCCAUCUCGGCCCCAGGAGAGCUGCUUACAGAGCAUUCCUGUGCGCACCUCACCGAGUUCGAACUCAAAAAGUGUGGAAGUGGAAGCCUUUGGUAUUUUGUCUUUGGAGAUCAGCUUCUUUGUGAACUCCUGCUUACCUGUAAAGGUUCAAGUCUCCAGGUGAAAAAAAGGUGAGUCUGAUAGCAGGGCCCUGCUGUCUCUCUUUAGACCAGUGAUACUCAACCUGUGAGUUGUGACCCCUGAGGGGGCCGGGGCAUCACUCGAGACCAUCUGAAAACAGUACAAUUCAUAACAGUAGCAAAAUACAGUUAGGAAGUAACAACAGAAAUAAUUGUAUGGUUGGGGGUCGCCAAACAUGUGAAACUGUAUUAAGAGUGUCUCUUCUACCCCCAAGGCUUCAGCAGAGAAACACUGUUCUAGGGAUUUGACUUUGGCACAGCUGCAUUCUUACUGUGUAAAGUCCUUAGUGGUAGGGCAUAAUACAGAGCUUCUGUCCAUUUAUGUUGCUCCUACUUUUAUUCUUGGCCCUGAUCUACCCAUCCAUGAUAUUCUAAAAGGAAAAGAACUGGAUCGCUGUGGUAAGGAAGAUGAGGCAGGGAAAGACAGGCUCUAUUGGAACAGUGAAGGGCCACAACCUUCCUGUGGGAUGAGGCUGUGCACUCAGGGAGCCUUUGAGGCAGGCAUAUACCAGGGAGUCUUGGGAUAGAGCAGGAGCCCAUGGGUUAAAGUUGACUUUGCCCACAGGAAUAGAGGCAUUGCUGGGGUGAUGAACAGCCAGAGAAUCGUUAGCAUGUUAUAUCCCUCCAGUGGUGCUUUUGGUACCAUCCUAUCUCAAUUGUGAGACCUUCCCCCAUUGGUGUUGUUUUGUUAUCUUUAGUUCCCAGAAGAUGCCCUGUCUGUUCUCCCCAUUUAGUCCCUGACAUAGAACCCCCCUGCCUUGUCCUUCUGCGGGAGCCCCAUUCCACACCCUAGGUGAGGAGAAGUCUAGGCAUUUCCAGAUUGUGAGAAAGGACCAGUGUUCUGCACCAUCAUUUUUGUUUCAAUUGGCCUUGCACAAUGGCUGGGUGGGGUUCAGUGGUGCAGCACUUUCAGUGUUGGCCAGGAGGACUAUUAGUUGGUAGUUAGCACUAGCUUUAUAGUUUUCUAUGCACCAUCUGAAAGAGAGAAGACAGAGUCCUAAAAGUAGACAGUUAGUUUUAUUGACUAGCUCCCCCUUCACCACCCUAUGGUACUAAGGCAGCCUCCCAAGCUAGUUGAGGGUGGGUAGCAUUUCCCACCCUUCAGGGUCAUUUGGAGUCACAUCCAUCCAGGUCAGGAGUUUUUGGAGCUGGAAGGCUAGCAGUGGGGCUCAGAAACUAAAGGGGGUUCUGGGUCUGGAAAGGUGGUUGAAAAGGCAGCAUAAUAUUGAAGUGAAGAAACAAUCUGUUUGAGAGAGAAGAAUUGGAACACUCUUUGUGGGGAAAGGAUAUCAGGUCUCCAGGGCCAGGAUCCACAAAAGGUCUUCCUUGAGCACUUCCAGGAAAAGCAGAGAUUAAGAUGUGCUCAGGGGCAAAGCGGUUGGUGAGAGUUCCUCAGUGAUUGGUGGGACCUGGGAAGGAAGCAGGAAGCAGGAAGCCUGGUGGGGCUUAGGGAUGUAGAGCAAAACUGUGGGGAAGCCUUCUUGAGCCUGGAGAGUUGGACCCAGGAGCUAACAUUAUUUAAUUUAACUAAAGUUGGGGUGAAUAGAAUGACUUUGUGAGGGUUCUGCCAUUUAGGAGUUAGAGAGAAAUGGAAUGGGUCAGAGGCACUUGUCUCCUUUGGGGGCAUUGGGUAGAGUAGAGGGUAGGAUGGAGUCAGUAUGUUUCCAAAGCUCUGUACAGGAAGGACAGGAGACUGAGAUAGGGAAGGAGGGAGUUCGGGACUGUGAGUCCCAGGGUUAUGAGGGGUCUUCUCCCCUACGUGCAUGCAAAUGGACUGAUUAGGGAGGGUUUACUUAGCAGGGCAUGGAGUUUGAGCAGAGCCAAGGGCAGGAGUUUUAUCCAUCCUGUUUUAAUUCGAGAGUCAGUUUUGUGAGAAUAUUUUUUAUGGUCUUGUUUGUCCUUUCAAUUAACAUUGAAUUUCCAGGGGAUUUGGCAGAGGUGAUGGAAGAAAUAAGUCUGGGGACAUUGUUUAACUGUAUGGAGGAGGGCAAUCCAAAGCAGGGAAUGAUCUGAGAGAGGAGUGGAUGAACAUAGUCUUUUAUUUGUGAUUGGGAAGGUCUUAGCCUAUCCUGAACAAGUAUCUACAAAUACCGGAAAGUACUUGUGUCUUCUGACUGGAGGCAUGUGAGUAAAAUCUGUCUGCCUAGUAGGAUGUCUGUCUAGUAGGAUGGAAGUUGUGGAAUGGGGGAGAGGGGCAAAGGUUGAAGUUAGGUUUAUCUUUUGGCAAGUCUCACAGGAGUCAGCUUUUGUGUUUGUUUUGUUUUGUUUUUGUUUUUCAAGACAGGGUUUCUCUCUGUAGCCCUGGCUGUGCUGGAUCUCGCUCUGUAGACCAGGAUGGCCUUGAACUCACAGAGAUCCGUGCCUCUGCCUCCCAAGUAGGAGUCAGCUUUUUGAGGAAUAGUUUAUUGGUGGAUGUAAAAGGUGACUGCCUGAAAAGAGAGUAGAAUCUGAUCAGAAGGGUGAAAUGGGAAGUACAGAUAGGUUAGGAUGUUGGGGUGAUGACAGUUGCGGAAGUGGUAAUUCGUGUGCACAGGAUGGGCUCUGGAGAUUGGAUUUUUGCUAUUGGGCUUGAUAUGGAUAUGAUGGGAUGGUCUGUUGAGCCAUUGAUCAGCCUGGUUGUCAAGAAGAGAGUGACUGUGUUUUUUAUGUCCCCUGUAGUGAAGGAUGGCCACUUGGGUGGGGAGGAGACUGUUUCAAAGAGUUCCUGUAUCAAAAGGGAGUUAAUAAUCAGGAAGCUCCCUUCUCUCCAGAUUAAGUUGUUGGAGUGUAUUAUGUUGUAGAUAUACCUGGAGUCAGUAUAUAUUGACCAUGAGGUUGGAAGCAAAUGUGAGAGCUUGGGUGUUGUCCGUUGGGAAGUUGUAUGAGGCGGUAGGGAUUUGGCUUCAACUAUGUGUGGACUUGUGCAGCUAGUCAGGUUUCCUUAAAGUGUCGUGUAUCCUGCCACGUAAGGGACUUGUUUGAGGGUGCUACCAGCUAGAAACUGAUGGCUAAGAGAACUCCAUUCUGGGAUAUUAUUAACUCACCACGACACUUGAGUGAUGGCCUAGAGCUUUUUACAGACUUCCAUACUAAAAUAAAAGUGGCUGAAGUGGUAGGGGAAAAAACAAACAAACAAAAAAGAAAACUCCCUUCUGUACCAGGUGCCCUCCUAGUAGCCAUUGUCCUUUGCACAAAAUUCCUGAAAGGUGGGCUCCUAGCAAUCUGUACCCUCCUCAGAAUGGUGGAACAGCUUGGUGUAAUGGUGUAAAUUAAGCACUUGCUCUGGCUUCUGUAAACUCGCUUAUGGCCCUGUACUGGGGAGUGAGACAGUUCCUGUAUUGCUGUAUACAUGGGGAGAGAGACAGCUCCUCACAUAGCGGAGGGGAGGGAAGAAGUUUCUCAUACAACUGCACAUCACAGAAACAAGACAAUAAUUGUGGUCUCUACCUUAAAAAAAACCCUUUAGCCCCUCCUGGGUGGCACACCUUUGAUUUGGCUGUAAGGCUGGCCCCCCUGCUAGCAAUUUUUAAUAAAUUUAACUAAUUACAAUUUGAA